rnacentral:rRNA from 1 species
UGUGCCAGCCGCCGCGGUAAUACGUAGGGUGCAAGCGUUGUCCGGAAUUAUUGGGCGUAAAGAGCUCGUAGGCGGUUUGUCGCGUCUGCUGUGAAAUCCCGAGGCUCAACCUCGGGCUUGCAGUGGGUACGGGCAGACUAGAGUGCGGUAGGGGAGAUUGGAAUUCCUGGUGUAGCGGUGGAAUGCGCAGAUAUCAGGAGGAACACCGAUGGCGAAGGCAGAUCUCUGGGCCGUAACUGACGCUGAGGAGCGAAAGCAUGGGGAGCGAACAGGAUUAGAUA